GGCAACGUGGCCGAGUGGUUAAGGCGCUGUGUUUAGGUUGUAUUGCUCAAUCUCCGCAGUGGGAAACCUCGCGCGUUCGAAUCGCGCCGUUGUCA